rnacentral:rRNA from 1 species
AUGACGGUCAGGCAGCGCGCGGGCAUGAGGGCUCGGCAUCAGACUGUACUCCGUGCUCUACAUGGUAGUAAUUCAGUUCACCCGAUUGUUGGAAGGAAUGCAAUGAGUUAUGAGUGGCGUGCGUGUCCCCUUCCAAUUAGCGUGCGGCUGGGUUGUCAUGUUCGCGGUCAUGACGUGGUGCAUCCAGAUCGUGCUCCAUGUUCAAAUCGGCGGUGCUCGUCGUCGUCGCCGUGCUCCGGUGGGCCAUCCACGACGAGCAGCUACACGUCGGAAGGUACGUUCGCAAAGCAAGGUAGCACAUUCUCUGUUCAGUACUCCUUCUGGCGAAUCCUGUCAUUCUCAGGAGCACCCUUUUUUUCAUGCUAUGAACGUGUUAUGCACAUUGGAAAUCAGUUUCAGUUUGUUUUCUGCGAGAAAAAAGUGCACAGAAUGAUUUUCAUGGUGAAUCAAUUUAUCAUCAGUUUUGAUGUAGCAUGUUGUGACUGUUCAGACGCUGGUAUGAUUGCAAGCUCUUGGUUGAUCGACUCCGAGUGA